CAUGCCGUAAACGAUGAGUGCUAAGUGUUGGGAGGUUUCCGCCUCUCAGUGCUGCAGCUAACGCAUUAAGCACUCCGCCUGGGGAGUACGACCGCAAGGUUGAAACUCAAAGGAAUUGACGGGGGCCCGCACAAGCGGUGGAGCAUGUGGUUUAAUUCGAAGCAACGCGAAGAACCUUACCAGGUCUUGACAUCUAGUGCAAUCUGUAGAGAUACGGAGUUCCCUUCGGGGACGCUAAGACAGGUGG
rnacentral:rRNA from 1 species